CCUACGGGGCGCAGCAGUGAGGAAUAUUGGUCAAUGGGCGCGAGCCUGAACCAGCCAAGUAGCGUGAAGGAUGACUGCCCUACGGGUUGUAAACUUCUUUUAUAAAGGAAUAAAGUGAGGCACGUGUGCCUUUUUGUAUGUACUUUAUGAAUAAGGAUCGGCUAACUCCGUGCCAGCAGCCGCGGUAAUACGGAGGAUCCGAGCGUUAUCCGGAUUUAUUGGGUUUAAAGGGAGCGUAGAUGGGUUGUUAAGUCAGUUGUGAAAGUUUGCGGCUCAACCGUAAAAUUGCAAUUGAUACUGGCAGCCUUGAGUACAGUUGAGGUAGGCGGAAUGCGUGGUGUAGCGGUGAAAUGCUUAGAUAUCACGAAGAACCCCGAUUGCGAAGGCAGCUUACUAAACUGUGACUGACAUUGAUGCUCGAAAGUGUGGGUAUCAAACAGGAUUAGAUACCCCAGUAGUC
rnacentral:rRNA from 1 species